rnacentral:tRNA from 1 species
CGGGAUGUGGCGCAAUUGGUAGCGCGCGUGAUUUGGGAUCAUGAGGCUGCAGGUUCGAGACCUGUCAUUCCGA